UACGUAGGUGGCAAGCGUUAUCCGGAAUUAUUGGGCGUAAAGCGCGCGCAGGCGGUUUCUUAAGUCUGAUGUGAAAGCCCACGGCUCAACCGUGGAGGGUCAUUGGAAACUGGGGAACUUGAGUGCAGAAGAGAAAAGCGGAAUUCCACGUGUAGCGGUGAAAUGCGUAGAGAUGUGGAGAAACACCAGUGGCGAAGGCGGCUUUUUGGUCUGUAACUGACGCUGAGGCGCGAAAGCGUGGGGAGCAAACAGG
rnacentral:rRNA from 1 species